rnacentral:lncRNA from 1 species
GAGAGGCAGAGCGCAGGCAGCUGGAUAAAUUCGCAGACGUGGAAUUCCUGGAUCAAAUGGAGGAGGAUGAAGAUGGAGAGUCAGUAGGAACGGGGAAGAGGGCUUCUUGCCAUGGAACAUUUGCCACCUAGUGACCAUUCUGAGUGGUGAUACUUGUUCUCGUCUUCUCAGCCUGGCAGCCUGCCCUUGACUCCUGAGUUCUGUGAGCCCUUCAAAACUGCAAGUCAUUCUCAAAAGAAAUUUGGGUUUACCUAGUGUGCACCUUUGAGAGUUUGGGAACAGUAUGCAAAUUCAACUUGCCCUCUUAAAAGAAAUUGCCAGAAACACUUUUCUGUGUACAUGAAGGGAAACCAUAAAAUAUGGAUCACUGAGAAAUUCCUGUUGGACUGGCUUUUGAAGUGUUUUGUUCCUGAGGUUAAACAGUAUUUAAACCCAAAACAUCUUGAAUUCGAGGUGUAACUGAUUCUGGACACGGCUCCCACUGACAAAAGCAUGAUCCUUGUAUUAAAGGCAGCUGUAUUCCCCCCAGUACAUCUCCACUCUUUCCACCCUUGCACCUGGGAGUGUAUUUGAUUGACUACCUGGCAAAUCUUACGAGAGAGACACCAGAAAUUACCGUGGAAAUAGCUUGGUAAAAUUUCUCCAUUUGUAACACUUUGAUACUAGUAGGAGAAUCAGUGAGAGAGAGAAAAUGAUCAACCCUUAACGGAGACUGGCAGCAACUUUGGAAUGAAGUUGUAAGUGAUUCUGAAGCUUUCCUUCCAGUGCCUGAAGAAAUUGAAAUUUUGGUAGCAUCUGCAGAACAUACGGGUGGUGACGGAUUCGAAGACAGUGAAUUAAGUGACGUUGCUGAACUGUUAGAUUCUCACCCUCAGAAGAUGGUUGAGAAAUAUUUCAGAGAUGGGAUCCCAUCAAAAGUUGAUGAAAGAUGUCAGCGUAGAUUACCUUCUAGAACUCAAAGAAUGUGGAAGCACCCACUCCGCAAAUCAAAUUGUCAUGGUGAUUCACAGGAAAGAGAUCCUUCGCUGGAAUAUUUAUUGACCUACAGGGAGAAGAGGCUGUACUACCGGGCUGUGUCACUCAAGCCCUUGCCCAAAAAAGCAGGCACAAGGGCCUCACACUGAUGCUUGAACCUGGGGAUUCAGACUCUGGCAGCUCUGAUGAUGAGUGAUGAUCCGUGUGCCGAAGAAUGAGAGUGAAGCAGGACACUGAGUUUACUCAGAUCCAGACAAAACCCUGUCACUGCUGUGAUGAUCAGCAUUUUCACUGAUGCAUGAUGUUUCUCACUUUGAGAUCAGAGAGAAAUAGAAAUUAAUUGCCCUGUCAUCACUAUGACUAAUGUAAAAUUAGUAAAAUGCCACCCGAAGUCACUUGACGUAGUGUUUUAUUUCAAUGAACUAACCAAUUGCCUGAGCUUUCAUAAUUAUUCCCUGCCCUGCCCCAGUUUCCCCCUAAACUCUUCAAUUCCUCCAACACACAUUCCCCUGGAAUGAGGGUUUCAGGAACUUGACUCUAGGACCUAAGGAGGGGGCUACUCUACUUGAUCGUAAAAUUUGAUUUUUGUACUCUUAAUCCUGAAGUUUAUAUUUUAUUCUGUUUAAGCUUAAGUUGCUCUCUCAACAGAAAGGAUCUAAAUCUUCUCCUUUUAAUUAGCCUGGUGCAAUUUAAUUUGUUUUCCAGCAACAGUAUAAGGUCCUGAAAGGCAUGGUUGGUCCCGGAAGGCAGUGCCUUUAUAAUGGGUUCCUGGAUUUACUUUGGUACCUAAUCAAGGAGGAGAAGCUGCUAGAGUUCAUUUCCAUCCAUCUUUUCUGUUGUCAUAUCUGGUCUUUCUGGUGAUUUGAAUGGUUGAAUAUUUUCCAGGAAAGGAAUAUGGAAACUUUGUCUUCCCUAAAGAUGGUAGAAACCCAAUAAUUUUCCCCCCAGCAUGGUGGUCUGGAAUGAUAGGGUACCUGUAUCUGAGUUUGAAGUGAUCAGAGUAAAGGAAAAAAAUACAAAAGUUAAGAGGGCUUGUGUGCGUAGUUACAGUGGAGAUUGCGUUCUUGAGCAUAUGUUCAAAAGAGGCACAUCAGAGUUGAAAACCCAUUACAGGUGAUAGGGAUCUAGUGACUUCACCACGGUGCCAGGGGAGCUUACAUUCCUCUCUAAGCCACAGCAGUUUUCAACACUGACUGCCCAUCAAAAUCAUUAUGGGGAGCUUCAGAAAAUACAGGUUACUGGGACCUGCCCUGGACAUGUUGAAUUAGGGAUGAGGCCUGUUGGGUCGGUCGCUGUUUCUUUUGAAAGCUCCUCAAGUGAUUUUUUUUUUUUUAAAUACAGCCUUGGCUGCAAACCCCUGCUCUAUGUCUCAACAUAAUUAUGGUAGACAAUGUAAUCCUAAUGGUUGUGGGCCUAAGGGCUAGGAGAUGUUAAUUCCAGGUUUCCGCUCUGCCACUCGCACAAUGGAUGGAAUUAUUCAAAUCACCCUACUUUUUAUCUGUCAAAUGAGAGAAGAGGCCCACUUGGUGUCGGAUAUCCUUCUAUCUCUGGCAUCGUUACCUUGAGAAAAAGGUGCAUCAACCUCAUUGGUUGAUUUUGAGAGUUCUAAGCCUUUUCACAGAGACCAAAGUAAGUAGUAGUAUUACUGUAUUGCAUUCUUACUAUUUUCAAAAUUGUUGUUGCGGUUCAAGCUCUACCAUGUUUUAAUCCCUCUCGGAAAAGAGAGUUAGGCAUUGAUGCCAUAGAAAAGAGGGAAACUGGAGUUCCCGUCAUGGCUCGAUGGUUAAUGAAUCCGACUAGGAACCAUGAGGUUGCAGGUUCCAUCCCUGGCCUCGCUCAAUGGAUUAAGGAUCCGGCAUUGCCAUGAGCUCCGAUUAGACUCCUAGCCUAGGAACCUCCAUAUGCCAUGGGUGUAGCCCUAGAAAAGGC